UAAGCUUAGACAGGUACAGGGCGUUAGAAUAUUAUCAUACAAUGCUGUGGUAUUUAUUGUUUUACGUAAUCCCUGUCACUGAGGCCAGGUACUUAUAGGCAGGCAGGUUUAAGGAGAUGAAAGACCUAAAACAAACGUAGCGGUGGAUUCUGGAGUUUUCUGACUUCUUUUCUGUGUGUAGUUUUUAAAAAAGAAUUUUCUUUAUUUGUGGAACUAAACCACCUGCUGGCUCAACUCUUUUUCUCUUUCAUUUUGGGGAAAGGAAACCUAUUUAAUUUCUUUUUUAUAUUUAUUAUUGUGGGUCAAGAUUAAUUCUUUUGCAACAGGCAGAUGGUCAGUCAGACAGCCAUGAGGAGCCAGCGUGUGGUGGAGAGCGAGUGCAGGUGCUGGAAUCCGGCCGUUUGGCUCCUGCUGUCCCUGCUGGGGUCCCUCAUGUUGGUGGCCCUCAGCGUACUGAUGCGACUAGGAGACAUGAAGAUAAGCAAACGAUCUAUACCCAGUAAGUAACGGAAAACGUUUUAAAAUCAUUCCUUUGUAAAGAAUAAAACCUCUUGAACAGGAACAG